rnacentral:rRNA from 1 species
UUUCGCAAUGCCCGAAAGGGUGACGAAGCGACGCCGCGUGUGGGAAGAAGGCCUUCGGGUUGUAAACCACUGUCAGGAGUUAGGAAGUGCAGGGGUGUUAAUAGCGCUCUUGCUUGACUAAGGCUCCAGAGGAAGCCACGGCUAACUCUGUGCCAGCAGCCGCGGUAAUACAGAGGCGGCAAGCGUUGUUCGGAAUUAUUGGGCGUAAAGAGCACGUAGGCGGCCUUGCAAGUCAGUUGUGAAAGCCUUCCGCUCAACGGAAGAAUGCCAGCUGAUACUACAGGGCUUGAGUACGGGAGGGGAGAGUGGAACUUCUGGUGGAGCGGUGAAAUGCGUAGAUAUCAGAAGGAACGCCGGCGGCGAAAGCGACUCUCUGGCCCGAAACUGACGCUGAGUGUGCGAAAGCUAGGGGAGCAAACGGGAUUAGAUACCCCGGUAGUCCUAGCCGUAAACGAUGGGCACUAAGUAGAGGGGUUUUA